CUCUCUGAUUCAGCGGCGGACGGGUGAGUAAUGCCUAGGAAUCUGCCUGAUAGUGGGGGACAACGUUUCGAAAGGAACGCUAAUACCGCAUACGUCCUACGGGAGAAAGCAGGGGACCUUCGGGCCUUGCGCUAUCAGAUGAGCCUAGGUCGGAUUAGCUAGUUGGUGAGGUAACGGCUCACCAAGGCGACGAUCUGUAGCUGGUCUGAGAGGAUGAUCAGCCACACCGGGACUGAGACACGGCCCGGACUCCUACGGGAGGCAGCAGUGGGGAAUAUUGGACAAUGGGGGCAACCCUGAUCCAGCCAUGCCGCGUGUGUGAAGAAGGUCUUCGGAUUGUAAAGCACUUUAAGUUGGGAGGAAGGGCAUUAACCUAAUACGUUAGUGUUUUGACGUUACCGACAGAAUAAGCACCGGCUAACUUCGUGCCAGCAGCCGCGGUAAUACGAAGGGUGCAAGCGUUAAUCGGAAUUACUGGGCGUAAAGCGCGCGUAGGUGGUUCGUUAAGUUGGAUGUGAAAGCCCCGGGCUCAACCUGGGAACUGCAUCCAAAACUGGCGAGCUAGAGUAUGGCAGAGGGUGGUGGAGUUUCCUGUGUAGC
rnacentral:rRNA from 1 species